UAACGUUUUGCCAAAUGUGGCUACGCUCCGUUCAUUGGGAUAUGCCCUGAUGAAUCUUGCAGCUAUAAAAACCUCAGACAUCUGAAACUUCUCAGCUUUCCUUCUCAGGACUUCAACUGACAUCAAGAAACAAAAACAAACGCUAACAAGCAGCCAGAAGGAAGCAGAAAGGAUUUGCGCUUUUUUGGAUGUCAGUCUGUUGAAAAGCGGCAAAAAUAACCGGAUUUCACAAAAAUGAGAUUUGAAGUUCUUUUCGUUAUUGGAGGGCUGGUGGCGUUUGCUGAACAAAAUCAAGAAGUCUCUAACUUGGGCCAAGUCUCCGAUUUGAUCACGACUCCUGCCACCGUGCAGUACAUUCCUGCCCGGGGGGAUGAGUUCAGACCAGUCAAGAACAAGGAUCUGGCUCCAGCCCGAAGACAACACUCAGUGACCCAGCCAUGUUUUUGUCAUGGGAAGAAGAGCUGCAUGUGCAUAAAGUCCAAUAACGUGAAAAACAUCAAACCACUGGCUUCAAGGAGAAAACCCAAGAAAAAUCGCUUAACCAAUAACAUUAUCAGCGUCCCCAUAUAAAGCCUGAAUGAGGACACGGGAUUUGCCGGAGUCACCUUUCCACAUUUUAGCUUAGUUAUUAUUUCUGACGGAUUACACAAAAUAUGUUAAGCUUUUACGUAUAGAGUUACAUUUCUGUGUUCCUUGACAUAAAUGCUACUGGAAGAAUAAUCAUAGAAAAGGAAUAAAGCUAAUACGCCUAUUAUUUUACUGACA
rnacentral:lncRNA from 1 species